GCUAGCUUCACUAGACAGUAUCCAAAAUGCUCACGAAGACUCACUUUGGACGGCAGCGUGGGUCAGAUCGGACGGCGAUAAACCGGCGCUACUUCUCACAGGAGGGCUUGAUGAAACUGUUAGGUUAUGGGACCCAACCAAACUCACUUGCCUUCACACAAACACCGGUCAUUGCCUCGGCGUUGUAUCAGUCACUGCUCAUCCGAAUCGGAGAAUUGCCGCUUCUGCUUCUCUAGACAGCUUCAUUCGAGUGUUUGAGGUUGAUACUAAUAACACCAUCGCUACUCUCGAAGCUCCUCCAUCUGAAGUCUGGCAAUUGCAAUUUAGUCCCGAUGGUAGCACUUUGGCAGCAGCUGGAGGUGGUAGUUCAUCAGUCAAGCUAUGGGACACCACUCAGUGGCAACUUGUUGCCACAUUGUCUAUUCCGCGUCAAGGAGGUUCGCAACCAUCCGAGAGAAGUGGCAGCAAGAAAUUUGUCCUCUCGGUUGCAUGGAAUCCUGAUGGGAGGCUUCUGGCCUGUGGUUCAGUUGAUGGAACAAUCUCUGUUUUUGAUGUAGCUCGUGUGAAAUUCCUCCACUUCUUGGAAGGCCAUUGCAUGCCUGUGCGCUCUCUCGUGUUUUCACCUUUACUCCAUGAAUCAAGGAUACUUUUCUCAGGAUCAGAUGAUGGUCAUGUGCAUGUGUAUGAUGCUGAGGGAAAGACCUUUCUCACAUCUUUGUCAGGUCAUGCGAGUUGGGUUUUGAGUGUGGAUGUUUCUCCAGAUGGGGCAGCCGUUGCAACAGGUUCAAG
rnacentral:misc_RNA from 1 species